GCCCUUUUAGCUCAGUUGGUAGAGCGUAGCACUCGUAUACUAGUUUGCUUCUGCUUCUAGUCUGUGAAUGCUAAGGUCGAUCGUUCGACUCGGUCAGGGGCAGGGCA